rnacentral:tRNA from 1 species
GGUGGAGUGGCCGAGUGGUCAAAGGCAACAGACUGUAAAUCUGUCGGCUAGCGCCUACGUUGGUUCGAACCCAACCUCCACCACCA